rnacentral:misc_RNA from 1 species
UCUCCGUUGGUGAACCAGCGGAGGGAUCAUUACUGAGUUAUCCAAAACUCCCAACCCUUUGUGAACUUACCACUGUUGCCUCGGCGAGUUGUGCUACCCUGUAGCUACCCUGUAGCUACCCGGGAACACAUUCCAAGCUCGCCAGAGGACCUACCAACUCUGUUUUAUACUGUAUCUCUGAACUUUAUAACUAAAUAAGUUAAAACUUUCAACAACGGAUCUCUUGGUUCUGGCAUCGAUGAAGAACGCAGC